rnacentral:misc_RNA from 1 species
AUGCUUCCAAGUUCAUGUAUGAGCAUGCAUCUCUUUUCUGUAGCAUGCGUGCAUUGUUCAUCAAAACCUGGUAUUGAUUAGCAAGUCAUGCAAUGAAAAAAGAUUCCAAAAACAGUUCUCUAAUCUCCAAACUUUUAUUCCAGUAUCUAACAGUUGUAACAUUCUUGUUAUCAUUUAGAGAGAGAGAGAGAGAGCAGCUUCAAUCAAGUUUUGAUCUUCAUUUGGUUAAUUCCGUUUAUGACACUUGGAUUAUAAUUCCCUUCAUUUGUUUUUCUACAGAACCUAUCUAAAAUAAAAUCUCUGUUGAUGUUUCAGCCAAUAUGUCCAUGUGCGUUCACAGACAACAGUUUUAACUUUAAUGUACUGAAACCCAGCUAUCAAUUAA